rnacentral:sRNA from 1 species
UUCAAUCUUCCAGAGCCAACUGAAAUGCUCUCUUACAUCAAAGGAAAUUUUUUCUCUCCCUUUCCUUUAACUCCUGGAAGAAAUUGGGCUUAGCCAGCUGUACAAGAGUAGGAAAGCUAAGUUUCCAGCUGUCAUGUAAGAAAAGGGGGUAAAUUGAGGUCAUCAUCGUAUUUUUUAUUCUCAAGUUUACCUCUCUCAUUUCUUUUGUGUGUCCUUUUUUUCAUUUUUAACACCCCAGGCCAAGUUUCUUCCUAACAGUGGUGAUUCUACUCUGGCCAUGUGUGCCCGUGACGGGCAGGUUCGGGUAGCAGAACUGUCUGCCACACAGUGUUGCAAGAAUACAAAACGUGUGGCCCAGCACAAGGGAGCGUCCCACAAGUUGGCACUGGAACCAGACUCUCCCUGUACGUUCUUAUCUGCAGGUGAAGAUGCAGUUGUUUUCACCAUUGACCUGAGACAAGACCGCCCAGCGUCGAAACUGGUGGUGACAAAAGAGAAAGAGAAGAAAGUGGGGCUGUAUACGAUCUAUGUGAAUCCUGCCAAUACCCACCAGUUUGCAGUGGGUGGACGAGAUCAGUUUGUAAGGAUUUAUGACCAGAGGAAAAUUGAUGAGAAUGAGAACAAUGGAGUACUCAAGAAGUUCUGUCCUCAUCACCUGGUGAACAGUGAGUCCAAAGCAAACAUCACCUGUCUUGUGUACAGCCACGACGGCACAGAGCUCCUGGCCAGUUACAAUGAUGAAGACAUUUACCUCUUCAACUCCUCUCACAGUGAUGGGGCCCAGUAUGUUAAGAGAUACAAGGGCCACAGAAAUAAUGCCACAGUAAAAGGCGUCAAUUUCUAUGGCCCCAAGAGUGAGUUUGUGGUGAGCGGUAGUGACUGUGGGCACAUCUUCCUCUGGGAGAAAUCAUCCUGCCAGAUUAUUCAGUUCAUGGAGGGGGACAAGGGAGGCGUGAGAGAUGCAGGGCUGAAUGCCCUCUCCCAGGCCAGCAUUUGUCCAUUCUCCGAAAGCAUUCUGCAGGCCAGUUUGCUUUUAGCUCAGCCAAUGCCAGGGUUUGAUGAUUAACCCAUUUGCCCA